rnacentral:lncRNA from 10 species
AGACUGCUCUGGCAGCCUAGGGAUGGGAAGACAUACAAGAAAGCAACCAGUUACUGGAUUAUAUGAGGAAGGCUGUGACAGAGGCCAUACCGGAUGCUGCAGGAACACAGAAAAAGAAGGAUCUACGCCCUUUGAUGAAUUCCCAGGAAGCCUUCCCAGAUGUGUCAGUGGGCUCUUGAAGGGUGCUCAUCUACUGGAAAGGCUUCAACUUUCACCUUUGCUGAUGACGUUCCAGUCCCAGUCUGCCCAAUCUGAAUUCUUCCUCAGCCUCUGCUUAGCUUCCUAUCCUCCGUUCCUUCUCCUAUGAUCUAGGCAGACAUUGAGGAUUAUGCCUGGCACAUUUUCUCAGAGGGCCAAGGCACAGCCUUAAUUUUCUACUCAACUGGGAGCUCUAGGCACCCAUUACCAUUCAGAGUUGGCAUUCGAGACAAAAACUAUUUUUUUCCUGAAUCUAGUCCUUUUAAUUUUAAGCACCUUAAGGAAUAUACCUUUUAAAGUGUCUUGAAGGAUUUCAUUCCCCCAUUCAUUCAGCAAACUGUAAAGAGCUUCCCAUGUGCUGCCUGUUGAAUGCAACAUCCUCCCUCUCAAACCCUCUCCUGCUCAACAGGUCCCCUGCUAUCAAUGAUACCAGCAAUAGCACUGAAAGAAUAAAUAUACACCAGAUAACACAGGUGAGUGGGCACAGCUCUCCAUGCCACCCUAGUUCCUCACAAAGGCAUGCCCAAUAUUUGGAGGUACUGACAGCCUUAGAGGAAGGAGAAAUCCACCAGGUCAGAAAAAUUCUGAGCUGUAGGCUUGCUGCCUUUCUUACCUACAUUUGAGGAAAGGCCAGGUUAGCAUCCAAGAGUCCACCCUAUCACCAUAUAAAGAAUUCCAUGCCAGACACAUAUACUUCUAUUUCCUAAUGCUGGUCCUGGGUCUACAGUGGUCUUAUUAUAAUCAGUAGACCAUUCUAGUUCAAGCCCUUAUCCCCUCCUAUAUGGAUAACUGUAACAGACUCUCCUCUCCAGUUCAUCCUAUAAAUGC